GAGCCGAUUCUCUGAGAGGUCCGUGGUCUGCAAAACCGCGUAUGAGGGUUUGAUUCCCUCUCGGCUCUCCA
rnacentral:tRNA from 1 species